rnacentral:rRNA from 1 species
UACGAAGGGGGCUAGCGUUGCUCGGAAUCACUGGGCGUAAAGCGCACGUAGGCGGAUUCCUAAGUCGGGGGUGAAAUCCUGGAGCUCAACUCCAGAACUGCCUUCGAUACUGGGGAGCUCGAGUCCGGGAGAGGUGAGUGGAACUGCGAGUGUAGAGGUGAAAUCGUAGAUAUUCGCAAGACACCAGUGGCGAAGGCGGCUCACUGGCCCGGUACUGACGCUGAGGUGCGAAAGGCGUGGGGAGCAAACAGG